AACGAACGCUGGCGGCAUGCCUAACACAUGCAAGUCGAACGAGACCUUCGGGACUAGUGGCGCACGGGUGCGUAACGCGUGGGAAUCUGCCCUUGGGUUCGGAAUAACAGUUGGACACGACUGCUAAUACCGGAUGAUGAAGUAAGUCCAAAGAUUUAUCGCCCAGGGAUGAGCACGCGUAGGUUUAGCCGGUUGGUGGGGUAAAGGCCUACCAAGGCGACGCUCCUUAGCUGGUCUGAGAGGAUGGUCAGCCACACUGGGACUGAGACACGGCCGAGACUCUUACGGGAUGCAGCAGUGGGGGAUAUUGGACUAUCGGCUAAAUCCUGAUCCACCAAUGCCUCGUGAGUGAUGAAGUCGUGAGAGUUGUAAAGCACGUUUACCCGGGAUGAUAAUGACGGUACCGAAAGAAUAAGCCCCGGCUAACUUCGUG
rnacentral:rRNA from 1 species